UGCCUUGUCUCUUGGGACACUUAUUACAUUAUAGUUUUCCCCACUAGGCCGGAAGCACCAUGAGAUGGGCAGGAACAAUCUUCAUUUGAUCCACUAAUGUAUUCCUUCUGCCAAGUUCUGGUCUUGACAUGGAUAUUUAAUGUGUAGCUUGAAUAGGCCUCCUGUGAUAAAGGCCAACAGUUUGGGAAGAUGUGAAUAUCUCCAAAUACUGUGAGAAAAAGAACAUAGAAAAGAGAAAGUAAAAACACAGGAUAAAGGGGACGCUACCAUGAAUUAAAAUCUGUUCCCACCCUGAAGGAGAAGAAAGGAAAUAUUAAUAAGAAUGGACAGAGGAACUAUCUGCAGACUUCCUGUUAGGACAGAAAGAUAAGACCCAGUUUAUUGGAGAUAUUGAAGCUGCUUAGAUUUACAUGUUUGGGAACACUAAAAUCUACAAACAUCAAGAAUCAAGAUGGCCAUAGACUGGGAGAAAAUAUUGCAAAAGACACAUUUGAUAGAGGACUACUAUCCAAAAUACACAAAGAACUCUUAGAACUAACUCAACGAUAAGAAAAUAAACAACCUGAUUGGAAAAAUGACAAAAGAUAGACAUUUCUCACCAAGAAAGAUAUUGGAAUACAAACAAAUGUGUGAAAAGAUGUUCAACAUCACAUGUCCUCAAGAAUUGCAAAUUAAAACGAGAUAGUACUCUGUAGCUAUCAGAAUGGCCAAAUCCCAAACACUGACAAUUCCAAAUGCUGACAUGGAUGCAGAACAACAGGAACCCUCAUUCAUUGCUGGUAAGAAUGCAAAAUGGUACAGUCACUUUAAAAGACAGUUUGACAGUUUCUUACAAAACCAGACAUAUUCUUACCAUGUAAUCUAGCAAUUGUCCUCUUUGAUAUUUACUCAAAGGCAUAAGAA